rnacentral:rRNA from 1 species
AGAGUUUGAUCCUGGCUCAGAACGAACGCUUGCGGCGUGCUUAACACAUGCAAGUCGAACGAGAAAGGGGCUUCGGUCCUGAGUAAAGUGGCGCACGGGUGAGUAACGCGUAGGUAAUCUACCCCUGUGUUCGGGACAACAUCGGGAAACUGGUGCUAAUACCGGAUACGGUUCACGGAUUGCGAAAUAAGUGAAGGAAAGAUGGGGACCCUUCGGGGCCUAUUGCACGGGGAUGAGCCUGCGUACCAUUAGCUAGUUGGCAGGGUAAGGGCCUACCAAGGCGACGAUGGUUAGCGGGUCUGAGAGGAUGAUCCGCCACACUGGCACUGGAACACGGGCCAGACUCCUACGGGAGGCAGCAGUGAGGAAUUUUGCACAAUGGGGGAAACCCUGAUGCAGCGACGCCGCGUGAGUGACGAAGGUCUUCGGAUCGUAAAGCUCUGUCAGCAGGGAAGAAAUGUGCGAUGGCUAAUAUCCAUAGUACUUGACGGUACCUGCAAAGGAAGCACCGGCUAACUCCGUGCCAGCAGCCGCGGUAAUACGGAGGGUGCGAGCGUUGUUCGGAUUUACUGGGCGUAAAGGGCGCGUAGGCGGCCUGCUAAGUCAUAUGUGAAAGCCCACGGCUCAACCGUGGAAGUGCAUGUGAAACUGACAGGCUUGAGUACUGGAGGGGAGUGUGGAAUUCCCGGUGUAGAGGUGAAAUUCGUAGAUAUCGGGAGGAAUACCGGUGGCGAAGGCGACACUCUGGACAGAUACUGACGCUGAGGCGCGAAAGCGUGGGGAGCAAACAGGAUUAGAUACCCUGGUAGUCC